UCCCUUCGACACCUUGACCAGUGAAUGCCGAGAACUCAGAACGAUCGUUGCGUGACAAAACGAUUCGCGUCGCGUUCACGCGUUUCUUUAGCUAGAAUUUUCGAACGUUUUACGACGUGAUCGUAAACGUACACGUGUUGCGUGUUCGUGGAGAGCGUUGCGAUGCUUCGCGAGUCUGUAUCGAGUAGCGAUAGAAGAUUGAUGUGAUCCGAUGCGAUCGGAACGGCAGCGCGUACUCUGACUGAACGCAGUCCGUAAACCACUUCACGUUAUUAUGUUCGGGACGAGGAGCGAGAUAGAGCUAUCCGCAGCGAUAGAGCGACGAACAUCGACUCGAGACUAUCUUCCGGCAAGUGCGAGGAAAGGGCCUCCACUUCGUGUGCACUUCGCCGACCUGUAACAAGAAGGACCUUCUACUUUGCUGAUAUCGAUGCACUUCGUGGAUUUAUGAACGAUCUACAAAGUAAUUGUGCAGCGAAGCGGUAACGCCAUGGUUGAUGAAAGCUGGAACUUUUUCGAAGAGACAAAGUUUAAGCGCGAAUUUGACAAGAAAGGAAUCCCUUUGCAUUAUCCGUCGAUCGUUAACGCUAUGACGAUCGUUUAGUUUCACGCCAACAAUAGAUAAGAUAUGAUUUUUGUUAUUUGUAGGAAAAUUUAACGACUUUGAAUAUUUCUCGCCAGUCAUCAUAACGUUAAUAACCAUUAAGAUUAUUGUACCAGAAGACUCGAAAAGUGUUAGAAGAACGACGAAGAAUCUCGAUCGAUUUCAAUAGCAUGUAAAGUUUUGCAAGAGUUAUUAUGAAAAUUUGAUAAAACUGAGCAAGCUUUCUAUUGCAAGAUGCGAGAACGACGAACGAAAGAAGAAUAAAUUGAAUGAUAAAAGAGUUUACUGGAAGCAUCCAUGAAUCAAUUAUACGACCGAGGCAUUUGAUACGAUUCUAUAACGUUUCGCUUUUGGACAUUCGUUUCCCAGCUAUUACGGCUGGCCGAACGUUGCGGUUCAAUCGUAAAUGGCGAUUGCUUGCAAAUUUAAUUGAAGUUUUCAUCGAGCGCAGCUUUUCAAAUUAUUGCGUUUCUAUAGUGUCAUAUAUGGAGGAAAAGAGAUGGAGAAUAAAAAAAGAAAAGGAAGAAAGGAUCUCCGCUGUAAAUACGAUAGCUUGGCUCUUUUCGUCGCGAUUCGAUUCUCGAGGAAUCGUAUUCAACGAGACGAAUAUAAUGAACCGUGACAACCCGAAAUAACAUUGCGUAAAAAGCAAUCCUCCGAGACGGUCGAUCUGUUUCUUUUAUCCCGUCUGCUCCGUUCAGAAGCAACGCGAACGAACAGAAACUUGUGACGUACGAGUCGCGAUACAAAUUCGCGUCUCAUGAAACUUUCAUUACCGAUUGAUUUCUCGCUUGGUAGCUGAUUUACAAAUCGAGUAUUAAAAUUCGCUCUGGAACAGACGCGUUUUCAUCGACAGACAAAUAUAUCCCUUCUAUCCGUUCCUUUUAAUAUCGUCGAAACAGAAAUUUUCGCAUUCGCCAAGGAUUUCCCAAGAGGCUAAUCGAUUCUCGAUUAGUACGGCGACUACUUGUGAAUCGUCAUACGCGAAAAGACUGUUUAAUUAACGAUUAUUCGGAGGAGAUUUCGAGUUCGACGAUGGUUUCGGUGACUCUAUAGAAAAAUUCUCGCAUGACGAGCAUCAGCGAUAACGGUAUUGUAAUUGGUAGCCGGAGAUUAACGAUAAACCAUAUCAGCUGCUCCGGCCUUUGCCAGCACGGAUUGUAUGCAUAUUGCAUGAGCUUCGGUCUUUUAUUAUUUUUCCUUGCUUUUUUCGUUACUCUUUUAAUACACGACGGUGGUCGUGAUCUCGCGAGUUGAACCAGCGAGAGCAUAAUCAAACUGCUUUGAAAGAAAAAAAAGGAGAAAAAAGAAAAAGUAAAGACAAAAGCCUCGCAACAGGAGAACUAUUUUAAAAGUUAUAUCGAUCAGUUUUCAUCUUGAUGUGUUUAUAGGAAAACUAAGCGAGCUCGAUGAAUUACACGAGUAUUUCGCUUUUAAACGAAACAAGAAGGAAAGGAAGAAGAGGUUUAGGAUAACGUUGAAAGUGGAAUCAUCACCGGAUGCAAACGCGUACCGAAAUCGAAGCUUUCUACGAGUUUUUAAAAUUCUACGAAAGCAUUUAAACUCUGUACAACGUCCGAAACGAUAAUAACGUAUAAUUGAAAUAAUUGAAACUAGGGAUCUAGAACGACAGUCAAAAUUGUUCCUUAAUUGCGUCCUCGCUUAGCUCUGAAAGAAAAAGAAAGGAAAGAAUAGGAAACAAUUUCCUCUAGUUCUUAGGGGACGAUAAAUCUUCGACGGCGUAACUUAAAGCAUUUUCCUGUAAUUCUCAAAUCGGCGCUCUUAAACGUUCUCAACUCGUCAGCCGAAUUUCCUGUCGGAUUUCGGCUAGCAGUUUGUUCAGCGGUCGUUCUAGGAAAGUUUCCAAGCUCGCGAUAGCUCGCGUUCGACAAACGAAAAACACUCGAGAACGGGAUAGCGUGGCGUCUGCUCGAUUCGAAGGCGAUGUCGGAAACAGGACAGGGAUUUUUCUUGCGAGGACGCGUGCAUCGUCGCGUUCGGUCUGUUUCUGUGCGUCACGAGACGCGGUUGGAUCGACGCCAAAUCGCGGCGACGUCGCACAGAUCGGGAAACUGCGCUUGUCGCCGCGAUUCGACAGCUUCUCGACUCUCGACGAAUUCCUAACGCAAAUAGGAUCGACGUUCUUAUUCGUUUCGUAGAUUUCGACCAUCCGGUUGAACGGUAGUUUGCCUGUUUACUUUAAGGUAACGAUGUUUGCUGGAAAUAUUUAAUAUAUACAGUGCUUCUUUUAUUGAUUUUGCGGAAUAUUUGAUUAGUAAUAUUAUUAGCGUGGUUAGGUUAUUUUUAUUACGCACGGAUGAAGAUAUAGAUAGCCUGUAAUAUAUACAGGCACAUUGAAGUACCUUCUUGAGCCAUCGUAUAAGAAUAACAAAAAUAUGUAUAUUCUAGAACGUAAUCUGAGAAGAUUAACUUUUCUUACAAAACGUUUACAUAGAUCGGACGUACAUAUAAAAAUUUGAUACUCUUACUUAAUAACGGGUCUCUUAUUGGCGAGUGCAGCUUAUCGUUAGUAAUAUCUUGGCAUGCUUUGGAAUAACUUUUUGGCAUAUGAGACAGGUAGCGAGCGUCAUAUUUUUCAAAUAGGAUUUGCUUGAAUUUUAACUUCUGAAUGCGUUUGCUUUGAACUUUACAUUGGAAAUUUGCAUACGGACUUUGCAAUGAGAUUUGCAUAGGAAAACUGGGAUGGGGAUUAUAUUAAAACUAUUGCUUUUAAAAAAUCAUGCCGAAAAUCGAUUGACGUAGGGUCCACGAAAAUAUCUAUCACGGAAUACGCUUUUUCAUUCAUUAAAGUGUCAUACGAAUAAUACCGACCAAGCUCGUAAGAUCUUCUCAUCUCUCAGACUUGUUUACUUGAUUGACUCAGUAGAGGCAUACGUAUUAGAAAUACAUUAAGUGUUUUGAACAGCGUAGUAUUUAAUGAUAAAUUUUCUUGGAAAGGAUUAGACUCAUCCUUAAGUAAGAACGUAUUAGUACCUUGUUACAAAGAAAAUUCAUCUUCAGAGAUAUUUCUUCCGAAGUAUCGUAGCUUGCAGCUUCACUAGCAAUAAAGUAGAUAGAAAAUAAAAAGAGAGAGAAAUAGAACAUGAGCCAAAAGCUGGGAUAAGAAUUAGAGUAAGUUGGAAGACUAGAACAAUAGAGUGAUGUAUCCUGGCGGGACCUGUAGCCUGUACUUUGAAACUUCUCGUACAAAAUAUAGUGGUAACAUAGAAAACGCGGGGGAAAAAUAAAAUUUGCGGACAGCGCUCUCUAAAGUGCCAUCUAAGCGAGACGAGGUUUCCCUGUUGAAGCUCCGGUCUCUUCUUCCUUUUCUUUUUUUUUUUCAUUCGAAACCUCGCUCUUGACGUCACACUGAUGUAUCUUUAUUUUUACACGAGCACUACAUGAUGCAGUCCGACAUUUCGGUGUUACGUUUAUAAUACGUGAUAAGAGGCGAUGAUAUAUGAACUUGGAUCGUACAAACCUCGCUUAAAAUGUAUAUUACUGGCGCGAAGGACUAAGAUUGCAUACCUAUAUCCCGUAUCUUACAUGUAAAUCGAAUCUUAAAGUUAACAGAAUCGUCAUGGAGCAAUAAGAAUCGUACUUGCGUGAAAACAACGGUAUACGAUCUUCUAAUAAAAAUUCACAGUUCGAGACAAUUUCGAUAAUUCAGACUCGAGAUAUUUAUGACACAUUCUCGGAGUAAGAUGUAAACGAAAGAAAGAAAGGCAAAUUACAUCGAUAAGAAUGGAUUAGGGAGAGAGUACGAGAAAACUUCAUUGCACCGUGUCGUAAUAUCGUUCAAUGUUUGAUAUUUAAACACGCGUUCGCGUAUUACCAUUAAUGUGAUAAAUUGGCCUUAAAUCAUUUUAUGUACACACGAGCGACGAUGUUGUCACCAUUAAACAUGAAAGAUCUAUUGAGAAU